GUGACGAAGCGACGCCGCGUGUGGGAAGAAGGCCUUCGGGUUGUAAACCACUGUCGGGAGUUAGGAAAUGUAAGGGUGUUAAUAGUAUCCUUACUUGACUAAGGCUCCGGAGGAAGCCACGGCUAACUCUGUGCCAGCAGCCGCGGUAAUACAGAGGCGGCAAGCGUUGUUCGGAAUUAUUGGGCGUAAAGAGCACGUAGGCGACCUUGUAAGUCAGUUGUGAAAGCCUUCUGCUUAACGGAAGAACAGCAGCUGAUACUGCAAGGCUAGAGUACGGAAGGGGAGAGUGGAACUUCUGGUGGAGCGGUGAAAUGCGUAGAUAUCAGAAGGAACACCGGCGGCGAAGGCGACUCUCUGGUCCGUAACUGACGCUGAGUGUGCGAAAGCUAGUGGAGCAAACGGGAUUAGAUACCCCGGUAGUCCUAGCCGUAAACGAU
rnacentral:rRNA from 1 species